UACAGGGGGUGCAAACGUUGCUCGGAAUUAUUGGGCGUAAAGCGCGCGUAGGCGGUCUUUUAAGUCGGAUGUGAAAGCCCUUGGCUCAACCAAGGAAGUGCAUCCGAAACUGAAAGGCUUGAGUACUAAAGAGGAUCGCGGAAUUCCCGGUGUAGAGGUGAAAUUCGUAGAUAUCGGGAGGAACACCGGCGGCGAAGGCGGCGAUCUGGGUAGAUACUGACGCUGAGGUGCGAAAGCGUGGGGAGCAAACAGG
rnacentral:rRNA from 1 species